rnacentral:misc_RNA from 1 species
UUAAGUUCAACGGGUAUCCUCACCUGAUCCGAGGUCAAACUUUGGGAUAUAAUUACCUGGCGGGCACCGCCGCGGACUCCUGAAGCGAAAUUUUUGCUACGCUUGAAGCCGGACUGUACCGCCAACGGGUUACGGACGGGUCACUCGACCGCGUCCAAGACAAGCCAGGCUUGAUGGUUUAAAUGACGCUCGAACAGGCG